rnacentral:rRNA from 1 species
UGGGGAAUAUUGCACAAUGGGCGAAAGCCUGAUGCAGCGACGCCGCGUGAGGGAUGACGGCCUUCGGGUUGUAAAACCUCUUUCAGCAGGGAAGAAGCGAAAGUGACGGUACCUGCAGAAGAAGCGCCGGCUAACUACGUGCCAGCAGCCGCGGUAAUACGUAGGGCGCAAGCGUUGUCCGGAAUUAUUGGGCGUAAAGAGCUCGUAGGCGGUUAGUCGCGUCUGCUGUGAAAAUCUCGAGGCUCAACCUCGGGCUUGCAGUGGGUACGGGCUGACUAGAGUGCGGUAGGGGGUGACUGGAAUUCCUGGUGUAGCGGUGGAAUGCGCAGAUAUCAGGAGGAACACCGAUGGCGAAGGCAGGUCACUGGGCCGCAACUGACGCUGAGGAGCGAAAGCAUGGGGAGCGAACAGGAUUAGAUACCCUGGUAGUCCAUGCCGUAAACGUUGGGCACUAGGUGUGGGGUCCAUUCCACGGAUUCCGUGCCGCAGCAAACGCAUUAAGUGCCCCGCCUGGGGAGUACGGCCGCAAGGCUAAAACUCAAAGGAAUUGACGGGGUCAUAGCUG